CAGUUUCGUUUCUGCUGCGCCACGACGGGAGCUCCCAAUUCUUUUUUUCUUAACCAUUUAACAAUGAAUCCUCCCCCGUCAGGCCUUUCCCAGCGCCCAUCUGAACCUCCUCAGCCACGGAAAUCGAAGUGGUGUGUAUCCAAGCUGCAGCUCCAUCUCUACCCUGCUUCCUGCACCUGGUGGGGGACGAGUGCUUCUCCGCCCUUCAGGAAACAGCCCACUUGUCAGCAGCUGGGCUCCCGGGAACAAAGGCCUAGGUUCAUUACCACGGAAUCGACCCUGACACGUUGCACGAGGGCCACCUCCCCCAGAGUUCCUCAAUUCACACCCCAAAUGAAGCGUAAUUGGACCUGGACAUCUUUGAAGUCCCCGAGCAGCUUGCCAGCAUUUUGAAAUGUCCUUGAUUUGCAUGGUGAAAACCCGGCUGGAGGUGACUUUUUCUUUCCCCUCGUCCCACGGUUUUAAAGACAGUGUGAUUUUUAAAUGACAUUCCGCAGCCAGGAAGAGUCACCAUGGAAGAAAUAAAAACGCUUCACGCCAGAAAAGAAAAGGCAACUGAAGUCCGGGGAUCUCACGAAUCUCUCAUUUGCCUCUUGGCUCGGGUUUUGUUCUGUGCGGGCCAAUGUUCCAGGCUGCGGUUUCCUCUCAGGCUUCUCCCCAGGUCCCUGACCUGGGAGCAUGAAAAGGAGCCAGGACCUGGAGCUUCCGAAGGCCAGCAGGUCGCCGUCAGACCUGAAGCCAGAAAACCAGCCCCGCCACCGGCUGGUGAGUUGGGCAUCGCAGUCCAACACCACUCUCUCUGAGAAGGGAAAGGUCCUCUAUCCGUGCUGAAAUGUGACUUAGCGCAACUGAGGAAAUGAAUUUUCAACUUGAUGUAAGGUGGGGUUUUUUUGGAUUUUUUUUUCUUUUUUCUUUUUACGGCUGCACCUGCGGCACAUGGAAGUUCCCAGGCCAGGGGUGGAAUUGGGGCUGCAGCUGCCGGCCUACGCCACAGCCACAGCAACGCCAGAUCCGAGCCACAUCUUCGACCUACGCCGCAGCUUGCAGCAGUGCCCCAGGAUCCUUAACCCAUUGA